CGAAACUGAAGCUCAGAAAAGUCAUGUGCUCAGGAACUUUACGAGACACGGAACUGAAAUGUAGAUGCUUUAUUCUCUCUCAUGAUGUUUUUCCUGGAGAAAUGCAGAUCGUACGCCAGAACCUGGAAGCAACCUAGAUGCCCCUCAACUGAAGAAUGGAUGGAGAAAAUGUGGUACAUUUAUACAAUGGAGUACUGCUAAGAAGAAAAAAAAACCAAUGGAAUCUUGAAAUUUGCAGGCAAAUGGGUAGAACUAGAAGAAACCAUUCUGAGUGAGGUAACCCAGUCACAAAAAGACAAACAUGGUCCUUAAAUCCUGUCAAAAAGCACCCCCAGACAAUAGUGGACCUGCCCGGACCGGAAGGCCCACCCUGAGUCCGGACAUACCUCAUCCCUGUCCAUCCACUGCCCUCUGCCCUCUGCCCUCUGGCUGCCUGAGCCUGAGCCCUCUGUCUGAGAGAGGGAGAGACCCCACCUGCACCCACUGGAAGAAGGGAUGGGAAGAUGACAGAGUAAGAACACAACAACAGAAGACCAAUAUGACACCACCAGAAUCUAGGGACUCCACACCAGCAAGAACUGAAAAGCCUAACAUAGAGGAUGAAGAAGAGACAAACCUUAAAAAUUAUCCUCUGAAGAUGAUAGAGACCAUUAAAGAGGAAACAAGAAAAUCCCUUAGAGAAAUAGAAGAAAAACAAGCAAAAAAAUUACAUGAAAUGGAGGAAAAGACAAACCAAAAAAAAUUUAGAAAUAAACAAACCCCGUAAAGUAUCUAAACAACCUUGUUUUUAAUUUAGAUAAAAAAUGGAGAAAAAAUUAAAAUCUGG
rnacentral:lncRNA from 1 species